UUUUCAAACUAAGCCUUAUCUUAUAUGCACUAGUUUCUCGAAGGUAUCCUGUCUCCUGUUGCUGAAGAUGAAGAAGGAGCUUCUCGCUUCUGCGCCAUGGAGGGACGAACAAAAAUCCGAAAAGUUUCCGGACGCUAAGCUUAGAGCCACCAACCAGCCGGGGAUGACGCCUACCAUGUAUGUCCCUCGUAAGAAAUCUGUCUUCUCGAAAUCCACCAAAGACGAUGACGAUUCACUUUCAGAGAUUGACCCGGAGCUUAGAUACAGCUUCCAAAGGAACUUUCAGUUUCUUCAAAGGGUGUUCAGCAUUGACACCAUUGUGAAACCUCUUCCUCCUGCAUUAGCUUACAAUGUUUCCCGUAACUUGAGCUUUUUCACUCGUAUUUUUACCCAGUUCUUUGGUUGGAACCCCAUUUCCCAUUAAGAAAAACAGAGGAGUUAUUGCUAAAUGAAAAAGUCCUCUAUAUCCCUGAUUUGAUCCUGAAGGCAUCUCAAAUGCCCAGAAAUCACUUGGGUUAGGACAAGAAGAGAAAGCACGCCGUGUCCGUUGAGUCUGUUUUUGUACCCACCAAAAAGGAACAAUCCAUGCUCGAAGUUCCUCACAAUUACUUUUGACCAUAGUCUCUCUCUCUCUCUCUCUCUCACAAACAAGUACUAGAAGGUUGACAUUUUAAUUGAUAUUAGUUGUAUGCCUUCCAAGUCUUACAUCAGUUCACUUAGAAACUGCCAUUCGAUAAGA